UUGGGCAAGUCUGGUGCCAGCAGCCGCGGUAAUUCCAGCUCCAAUAGCGUAUAUUAAAGUUGUUGCAGUUAAAAAGCUCGUAGUUGAAUUUCGGGGUCAGUAGGUUGGUCGUGCCACCGGUACGUACUGGUCUCACUGAUUCCUCCUUCCUGAUGAGCUGUAAUGCCAUUAAUUUGGUGUUGCAGGGAAUCUGGACUGUUACUUUGAAAAAAUUAGAGUGUUUAAAGCAGGCUAACGCUUGAAUACAUUAGCAUGGAAUAAUGAAAUAGGACGUUCGAUCCUAUUUUGUUGGUUUCUAGGAUUGACGUAAUGAUUAAUAGGGAUAGUUGGGGGCAUUAGUAUUCAAUUGUCAGAGGUGAAAUUCUUGGAUUUAUUGAAGACUAACUACUGCGAAAGCAUUUGCCAAGGAUGUUUUCAUUAAUCAAGAACGAAAGUUAGGGGAUCGAAGACGAUCAGAUACCGUCGUAGUCUUAACCAUAAACUAUGCCGACUAGGGAUCGGAUGAUGUUAAUUUUUUAAUGACUCAUUCGGCGCCUUACGGGAAAC
rnacentral:rRNA from 1 species